GACGAACGCUGGCGGCGUGCUUAACACAUGCAAGUCGAACGGAAAGGCCCUGCUUUUGUGGGGUGCUCGAGUGGCGAACGGGUGAGUAACACGUGAGUAACCUGCCCUUGACUUUGGGAUAACUUCAGGAAACUGGGGCUAAUACCGGAUAGGAGCUCCUGCUGCAUGGUGGGGGUUGGAAAGUUUCGGCGGUUGGGGAUGGACUCGCGGCUUAUCAGCUUGUUGGUGGGGUAGUGGCUUACCAAGGCUUUGACGGGUAGCCGGCCUGAGAGGGUGACCGGCCACAUUGGGACUGAGAUACGGCCCGGCCUCCUACGGGAGGCAGCAGUGGGGAAUAUUGCACAAUGGGCGGAAGCCUGAUGCAGCAACGCCGCGUGCGGGAUGACGGCCUUCGGGUUGUAAACCGCUUUCGCCUGUGACGAAGCGUGAGUGACGGUAAUGGGUAAAGAAGCACCGGCUAACUACGUG
rnacentral:rRNA from 1 species